rnacentral:snoRNA from 1 species
CUCCCAUGGUGAGGGCAUUCUGAUAUGUAAUCUUGAAAGAGUUCCCAUGCCUGAGGGAUAGGUUCAUCAUUGUGUUGCUGAAAAGUUGAGAUCUUUGCACACCUAGGGCA